AUGACGUGCCAGCGCAACAAGACGGAGACAUUACGGCCGGCUGGUCUGCUUCAGUCCUUGGAGGUGCCGUCUCAGGUCUGGGCAGAUAUCUCCAUGGACUUCAUCGAGGGCCUUCCCAAGGUGGGCGGCAAAUCGGUCAUUCUCACGGUGGUCGACCGCUUCUCCAAGUAUGCUCACUUCAUCGCGCUGGGGCGUCCGUAUACCGCCGCGUCCGUGGCUCGUGCCUUCUUCGACGGCAUCGUCCGUCUUCACGGUUUCCCCUCUUCGAUCGUCAGCGAUCGGGACCCGGUGUUCACGGGCCAUGUCUGGCGUGACCUCUUCAGGAUGGCAGGCGUCAAGCUCCGCCUGAGCACGGCCUUCCACCCUCAGACGGACGGCAAUCCGAGGUGGUUAACAAGGUGA
rnacentral:rRNA from 1 species